UACAGAGGUCCCAAGCGUUGUUCGGAUUCACUGGGCGUAAAGGGUGCGUAGGUGGCCAGGUAAGUUUGGUGUGAAAGCUCGGAGCUUAACUCCGAAAAGUCAUUGAAUACUAUCUGGCUGGAGGGUCGGAGGGGAGACUGGAAUUCUCGGUGUAGCAGUGAAAUGCGUAGAUAUCGAGAGGAACACCAGUGGCGAAGGCGAGUCUCUGGACGACUCCUGACACUGAGGCACGAAAGCUAGGGGAGCAAACA
rnacentral:rRNA from 1 species